rnacentral:rRNA from 1 species
UACAGGGGGGUGCAAACGUUGCUCGGAAUCAUUGGGCGUAAAGCGCACGUAGGCGGUUUGUUAUGUCGGAUGUGAAAGCCCUUGGCUCAACUGAGGAAGUGCAUCCGAAACUGGCAGCUAGAGUACUAAAGAGGGUCGCGGAAUUCCCGGUGUAGAGGUGAAAUUCGUAGAUAUCGGGAGGAACACCGGUGGCGAAGGCGGCGACCUGGGUAGAUACUGACGCUGAGGUGCGAAAGCGUGGGGAGCAAACAGG